rnacentral:rRNA from 1 species
UACAUGGGGUGCAAACGUUGCUCGGAAUUAUUGGGCGUAAAGCGCGUGUAGGCGGUCUUUUAAGUCGAAUGUGAAAGCCCUCGGCUCAACUGGGGAAGUGCAUCCGAAACUGAAAGGCUUGAGUACGAAAGAGGGUCGCGGAAUUCCCGGUGUAGAGGUGAAAUUCGUAGAUAUCGGGAGGAACAUCAGUGGCGAAAGCGGCUUCCUGGUCCAGCACCGACGUUCAGGCACGAAAGCGUGGGGAGCAAACAGG